AUUGAACGCUGGCGGCAUGCUUUACACAUGCAAGUCGAACGGUAACAGGCCGCAAGGUGCUGACGAGUGGCGAACGGGUGAGUAAUGCAUCGGAACGUGCCCAGUCGUGGGGGAUAACUACUCGAAAGAGUAGCUAAUACCGCAUACGAUCUAUGGAUGAAAGCGGGGGACCGUAAGGCCUCGCGCGAUUGGAGCGGCCGAUGUCAGAUUAGGUAGUUGGUGGGGUAAAGGCUCACCAAGCCAACGAUCUGUAGCUGGUCUGAGAGGACAACCAGCCACACUGGGACUGAGACACGGCCCAGACUCCUACGGGAGGCAGCAGUGGGGAAUUUUGGACAAUGGGCGCAAGCCCGAUCCAGCAAUGCCGCGUGCAGGGAGAAGGCCUUCGGGUUGUAAACUGCUUUUGUACGGAACGAAACGGCUCUGGUUAAUACCCGGGGCUAAUGACGGUACCGUAAGAAUAAGCACCGGCUAACUACGUG
rnacentral:rRNA from 1 species